UUGACCUCGAAUCAGGUGGGACUACCCGCUGAACUUAAGCAUAUCAAUAAGCGGAGGAAAAGAAACUAACAAGGAUUCCCCUAGUAACGGCGAGUGAAGCGGGAUGAGCUCAAAUUUAAAAUCUGGUAGUUCUUGUUGGCUGCCCGAAUUGUAAUCUAGAGAAGCGUUUUCCGCGCUGGACUGUGUACAAGUUUCCUGGAUAUGGAACAUCAUAGAGGGUGAGAAUCCCGUCCUUGACACAGACUCCCAGUGCUUUGUGAUGCGCUCUCAACGAGUCGAGUUGUUUGGGAUUGCAGCUCAAAAUGGGAGGUAAAUUCCUUCUAAAGCUAAAUAUUGGCGAGAGACCGAUAGCGAACAAGUACCGUGAGUGAAAGAUGAAAAGCACUUUGGAAAGAGAGUUAAACAGUACGUGAAAUUGUUAAAAGGGAAACGAUUGAAGUCAGUCGCGUCUACUUGGACUCAGCCUUACUUCGGUUUGGUGCAUUUCCUUGCGGACGGGCCAGCGUCCAUGUUAAU
rnacentral:rRNA from 1 species